ACCAGACUCCUACGGGAGGCAGCAGUGAGGAAUAUUGGUCAAUGGGCGGAAGCCUGAACCAGCCAAGUCGCGUGAGGGAAUAAGGCCCUACGGGUCGUAAACCUCUUUUGCCGGGGAGCAAGGGCGGGGACGUGUCCCGGCCCGGAGAGUACCCGGAGAAAAAGCAUCGGCUAACUCCGUGCCAGCAGCCGCGGUAAUACGGAGGAUGCGAGCGUUAUCCGGAUGUAUUGGGUUUAAAGGGUGCGUAGGCGGGCUUUUAAGUCAGCGGUAAAAAUUCGGGGCUCAACACCGGCCGGCCGUUGAAGCUGGGGGCCGUGAGUGGGCGAGAAGAAGGCGGAAUGCGUGGUGUAGCGGUGAAAUGCAUAGAUAUCA
rnacentral:rRNA from 1 species